AUUAGAACAAAAGAUGAUCCUAUCAUCCAGGAAAUUGCCAAGGAUUUAGGAGAUCUGUGUCAGGAACUGAGGUCAAAGUCCAAAUAUUGGAACAGAAGAUUCUCUUAGUACCCCUAUCUAUAAAAGUUUCAGGAGCCGUAUGUCAAGAACUGAAGGAAAAAAACAAAUAGAUAUUUCUUCUUAUAUUACAACAGUACAGAUAUUCAACAAGGGCAGUCCUGAACAAAAUUUUAAAAAAUAUAUCUGAAAAUACAAAGAACCAAGAAUAGUGAAGAUACCAUUAGAGAAGAAUAACAGAGCUAAUGAACUUUUCUUAAUCAUGAGAUUUGUCAUCAAGGUACAGUAAUUCAGACAGAAUUAUAUUAAUAUAAUAUGGCAUAUGGAAACAUAGCAACACAGAAAAGAGAGAUCAGAAAUAGACUCAUUUUAUGGACACUUGAUAUUUAAUUGAGAUUUUAUCACAAAUCAGUGAGCAAAGGAUAGAUUUUUAAAAUAAAUGAUGCUGAAUGAUUGAAUCUACUAUAAUGCAACUUUUCCAGUUGACAUCAAUGUGCUUCAUUUUCUCUGUCCAGAAAGUGAGCAUAACAAUAGCAUGCCUAUAUCAGAGGUUUCUUUUAGGGAUUAAUUGAGUUAAUAUAUUAAAAUAAUGCAGUAAUUUUAUGUAUUCCAAGGGCUUCCUAAAUGGGCAAAUGUACAGACUUUUAUUUCAAUAUUUGUUUACAGAAGAAUAAAA
rnacentral:lncRNA from 10 species